UCUCGUCCAGAUCAAUAGCCGCGCACGC
rnacentral:sRNA from 1 species